UGACUGCGUACCUUUUGUAUAAUGGGUCAGCGACUUAUAUUCUGUAGCAAGGUUAACCGAAUAGGGGAGCCGAAGGGAAACCGAGUCUUAACUGGGCGUUAAGUUGCAGGGUAUAGACCCGAAACCCGGUGAUCUAGCCAUGGGCAGGUUGAAGGUUGGGUAACACUAACUGGAGGACCGAACCGACUAAUGUUGAAAAAUUAGCGGAUGACUUGUGGCUGGGGGUGAAAGGCCAAUCAAACCGGGAGAUAGCUGGUUCUCCCCGAAAGCUAUUUAGGUAGCGCCUCGUGAAUUCAUCUCCGGGGGUAGAGCACUGUUUCGGCAAGGGGGUCAUCCCGACUUACCAACCCGAUGCAAACU
rnacentral:rRNA from 1 species